GUUUUCCAUAGCUGCCACGAUGCAAGAAAAACUGAAAAAACAACCCGGGUGAGAGGACAGUCUGUGCUGCUGGGCAGAGGCCAAAACCUGAAAACAAAGCAGAAACUCAGACCACAGGGAUUUGCAAACUUUUCCUGUAAAGGACCUGAUUGUAAGUAUUUUAGACCUUUGCGAUCACACAUACAGCCUCUGUUUCAACUACUCCGCUCUGCCGCUACAAUGCGAAAGAAGUCUUAGGCAAUAGAAAGGGCAUAGAAGCGUUCCAACAAUACCUCAUUUACGAAAACAGGUAGGGGGACAGAUUUAUCCCACUGGCCAGUUUGUCACCCUCAUGCUCUGUGAUAUGCCUUCUAAAUAAAACCAUUGUGUUUGUGCUGCAAAUACAAUUAUAGGACAAUUUCUCUUUCAACCAAACUCCUGCCUUCAAGCCCCUUCUAUGUAAAAACCCUGGAACCACCCUUGGUCCUGCAGAACAUUCCCGAUACCAGCUGAGGUUUCUGUGCACCAACUCAGGCGGCCUCCCUGGCCAGAGACAGGAGGAGCCAGGAAUUCUGAGUUAGUCCUGAAGACAGCCAGAGAUCAGAGAGGUCAGUGCUCUUGGCUAUUCACAUAGGAAGUUGGUUUUCUGUUCUUUUCCAGAGAACUGCACAGAUAAUACACAGAUCGAUGCCAAGUAAAACAAGAAGGAAAAGCUGGCUCUGUCCAGGAAAGAGCUGACAACAAACGUGUCCUGACUGGGAAACGCUUUCUGCUGCUUCCUCCCUGCUGCCCGGCAGUGAGGGGAGAGGUGGGACUGGGGCCAUCGGGCCCUCACGUGCCGGGCAGGGCUGCUGUGCUCAGCAGAGGAUGUCUGUACAAUCUCAUUUCCUUGAGAUUUUCAAGAAAAGGUGAGGUUUUCACUGCUUAGAAUGAGGGAUAGAGACAAGAUUUCUUGAAGAACAGGAAGGGCAAGACUUCUUACAGUUUUUCCCAGUGCUACUAUGAUAAUCAUCAUGGCCUGAUGAAGGUUAGAGUUCUAAUUUAUUAAUAGUUUCCUAAGUGCCAGGCACUGGACUAAAUGUAUAAUCUCCACUUUACAGAGACAGAAGCAAAGAUUUGAGAUAGCCUGUCUAAAAUCUCACUGUAAGUGGAAGAGCUGGAGUUUGAACCCAGAUAAACAGAAUGCACAGGAUGUGUGUGUGUCUGUGUGUUUGUGUGUGUGUGUAUGUGUAUGUGUGUGUGCUAUGUUUGUGUGUUUCUGUGUAUGUGUUUGUGUGUAUGUGUAUAUGUGUGUGCAUGUGUGUGUGUGUGUAUGUGUGGGUUUGUGUGUAUGUGUAUGUGUGUGUUUGUGUGUCUGUGUGUUUCUGUGUGUGUGUGUGUGUGUGCAUAAAGAGAGAGAGG
rnacentral:lncRNA from 1 species